rnacentral:misc_RNA from 1 species
AUGCAUCGACUGUACUGGGCUGGGGGCUGGGUUGCUGUGCUCCGAGUGCUGAUGUGAUGUCGACCUAGCCUAGUAUGGAGUACACCGCCUGACAUGAGUACAAUUAGUACUCUACGAACGUGUAACCCGACAAUUAGUUAACGUGUUACUAUGUUUUAAAAGUUAUCCGAUUUCAAAUUAAAGUGAUUUUUAAAUAUGACGAUUGUCUUCCUAGUUCCAAGGCAACUGGUGUAGACGUAAGAAAUCGUCAUGUCGCGUAUAGUUAUAUGCGAUUAUAUUUGUUUAUAAAUGUAUCGAUGACGUGCGAAUUAUAUUUUUAAAAGUUAAUAAUGCCGUUCAGUUCCUAUUAAGAAUGGCAAAUUUAAUUAAAAUAUGUCAAAGUUAGUGGCUGUGAAUGAAACUGUAUAAUUUUAGUACAGGCAAAUCAAUUCGUGCACACACGAAGGAUGAGUAGUAGUGGCAGUAUACUAGCCAAUGGAGGAGGUUUGGAAGCGUUAUUAAAAGCAGCAAAAUUCGUUGAGGAGCAGGAAAAACAAAAAUUAAGAAGACAAUCUACUGUAAUCAGGCCUAAUGAAGAUGUGGUGGAAGGGCCGAGAUGUGAAGCAUUAAUAGCUGUUUGUCACAAUGGAGUCCACCCCCUCAACACCUCAAGCCGUGUUCCCACUCCUCCUCUACCUAGGCACGGGUCCAUCAUCCGAGAGGUUCACAACAAGCUGGAGAAAAAUCGCCGAGCCCAUCUCAAGGAGUGUUUUGAAACCCUCAAAAAGCAGUUGCCUUCAUCACCAGAUGAGAAGAAGACUUCAAAUCUCAGUAUUCUCCACAACGCUAUACGAUACAUAGCUGUGUUAAAGCGGAAAGAAAGAGAAUAUGAACAUGAGAUGGAAAAGCUUGCACGGGAGAAGAUUGCACAUCAACAAAAAUUGGUGACUCUCAAGAAAGAGCUGAGUGCACAGUGGGAACACAUUGACUUCAACACUCUACUCCCUGAGGUGGUGGAACCUGAGCCUAGGAGGAUUAGUGACUUGAUGAAUGGACGGGCAGCGGAGACAGGCAGUGAUGAGGACUUGGUCCGUACCAGCACACUGUACAGUAGCACUUCAAGUCUUUCCAGCGCCUCACCCCUCCACUCCGACUCUGUUACUCACCUUACUCAACAGGUGGUGAACAGUCCUGGACCUCCAAGCCUAUUGAUGAGUCCGAUUCCACAGUUGCUGCCAUCUACAACCAUCCGAAUGUUGCCCGCUGAUACACACUUUGUACAUUCUCACAUACCCACCACAGGCAUUGCAAUCCAGAAUGGAGUUCUCAACCAUAGCACGGUAACUCUCGCCACCAAACAUCCAGUCAGCACAGAGACUGAGAGGAUGGUGUUGCAGAAAGCAGCACACUGAUGGCCUCUGGUCUACUGAGUCACUCUCUGGUGGUACCUCAGCCCAGUUCGUUCCUGCUAGCUGCACCGUCACACAUCAGUGACAAGGUGAUGACGGGUCCAGUGUUGAAGAGCAUCAGUCAGGUGCCUCAGUUCCUGGUCAAGCCUGCCAUGGUGGUAGUCAGUGCGGCCGCAAACACUCCCAAUUGAUCAUAACCGGAUUCCAAAUAUUUAUAUUGUAUUAUUU